AGGGAAGUUUCAGAUGCAGGUCCUCCCGCAGUGUGGCCAUGCAGUCCAUGAAGAUGCUCCAGACAAGGUUGCUGAAGCUGUUGCAACAUUCCUGAUCCGUCACAGGUUUACAGAGCCCAUCGGUGGAUUCCAGUGCGUGUUUCCUGCUUGUUAAUACCCUGGUGUUCUCCAGCACUGAGUCCUGUUGUAAAUAAACUGCACCAGAGGCCACUGUGAUGUAUCCAUAUCCUUUCAUCUCUCCAGUUCAGCAGCAGUGAGAAGUUGGUGUGAGAUUCAUCCCCUAGAACUAGUUCUCCAGAAUGUCUAAAUGCUUAGGGACUUCCUUGCUGGGAAGCAGCUUGUACUGAAGACCAUGAAAAGCUCUUCAGGCCCUUGGAAGUGGGCUCCUCUCUGCUGCCGCAAGGAAAGACCUCCUGAAAUCCCAAGUAGUCGAUCAUACCGAUCUCCAUCAAUUCUCAGGCUUUCCUGGACCCAACUAAGGGGCUGUUGGAAGUCCAGAUCCACCGAGGGCAUUGCAGCAGAGCCAAAGGCUUCAGGAUUUCUCCAUGGAGUUGUCUAAUCGUCUUCAAAGUGCCCC